rnacentral:rRNA from 1 species
UACGUAGGGGGCAAGUGUUGUCCGGAAUCAUUGGGCGUAAAGAGCGUGUAGGCGGCCUGAUAAGUCGGCUGUGAAAGUCAAGGGCUCAACCCUUGAAUGCCGGCCGAUACUGUCAGGCUAGAAUCCGGAAGAGACGAGUGGAAUUCCUGGUGUAGCGGUGAAAUGCGCAGAUAUCAGGAGGAACACCUAUGGCGAAGGCAGCUCGCUGGGACGGUAUUGACGCUGAGACGCGAAAGCGUGGGGAGCGAACAGG